CAUCUUGCCGGAAGUGACGGCGCGGCGGCAGGGCCCGCCCUGCCCGGCGCGCGAAGGGAGCGCUGAGGGAGCGCUGGGGACCCGCCUUCGUCCUGCCAGAACUGCGCCAGGAGCUGGGGAAACUGCGCCGUGUGCCCGCCUUCGUCCUGCCAGAACUGCGCCCGGAGCUGGGAAAGCCGCGCCGUGUGCCCGCCUUCGUCCUGCCAGAACUGCGCCCGGAGCUGGGAAAGCCGCGCCGUGUGCCCGCCUUCGUCCUGCCAGAACUGCGCCAGGAGCUGGGAAAGCUGCGCCGUGUGCCCGCCUUCGUCCUGCCAGAACUGCGCCAGGAGCUGGGAAAGCUGCGCCGUGUGCCCUGUGACACGCGCGGGGCAGCGCUGAAAGCCUGUGGCUCUGAGUUGGAGAACAAUUAGACACCUUUUAGCGAUGUUUGGGGUCAGCACUGCAGCAGACUCUGACUUUCCCCCUCCCCAGAGACCAAUCUGGUAACCCACAGUUCCAGAAUGAUGAACAAGUAGCUGAAAUUUGGAAGGUGCUGGAACAAAAACGUUCUUGGUUGUGAACAGGUGGGCAGUAUCUAGAUACUAUGCAACUGAGACAGCAUCAACUUUGGUACAAGCUUGAAGAAGGAAAUAUAGAUUUAGUAAUUUAGUAUUAUUUCUACAAGAAAAGUAGUUGUUUUCUGCUUUCUUCAACUUUAUAAAAUGCUACUUUUCAUUUGGAAAAGGAGCAAAAGAAACUUUAGAUUGUAGGGAUUUUUUGGGGGGUAGAUGGGAACUGCCUUUACAGUUUCUCUGCUCAGGAAUAUUGAGGAGGAGGGGAAGAAGAAACAAGCUACACAUAGAAUGUAAAUCACCCCCAAAAUAACAAGAAAAAAUUGUAUGAGUAUUUGGAAUUUAAUUGAAUAAAUUUUAUUUCUUUUAGGGAAAAAAAACUCAUUUCUUAUCCGCAUGAUGCACCUUUGUAAUAAUUUUAUUUUCCUUAAAAUAAAAAUUCCCUUAAAAUUC